rnacentral:rRNA from 1 species
GUGAGGAAUAUUGCACAAUGGAGGAAACUCUGAUGCAGCAACGCCGCGUGGAGGAUGACGCAUUUCGGUGUGUAAACUCCUUUUAAGAGGGAAGAUUAUGACGGUACCUCUUGAAUAAGCACCGGCUAACUUCGUGCCAGCAGCCGCGGUAAUACGGAGGGUGCAAGCGUUACUCGGAAUCACUGGGCGUAAAGGGUGCGUAGGCUGACUUUUAAGUCAGGCGUGAAAUCCAAUGGCUUAACCAUUGAACUGCGCUUGAAACUGGGAGUCUAGAGUUCAGAAGGGGCAGAUGGAAUUAGUGGUGUAGGGGUAAAAUCCGUAGAUAUCACUAGGAAUAUCAAAAGCGAAGGCGAUCUGCUGGGAUGAUACUGACGCUGAGGCACGAAAGCGUGGGGAGCAAACAGGAUUAGAAACCCGGGUAGUCC